ACCGAACGGAUAAAAAAAUAGUCAAUUCUUUAUAUAUUUAUUUACACACACAUAUAUAUAUAUAUUUAUUAUUAUUAUUUUAGGGUCGUUUGAUCUUUUAAAACUGGUCAAGAUUUUCAAGAGCAGUGAAUUAAAUGCCCUUCACAUGUCCCUUUUCUCUUUCUGAAAAAAAAAACAGUUCACGUGUUAACCCUUUCCCAAAAAAUAUCACAAGUCCCAUCCAUUUUCCCCAAAAUAGUAGCAAAACAAAUGUCUUUCUCCUUCUCCUUUCUUCCCCUUUUCUCAUCCUCCUCAAUGAAGAAAACUUAAACCCAUCGCUAGCUGGCCGCCUGCCAUACCACCUGCGAGAAUCUCGCCAAAACCGAUCCCCCAACUCGCAAAUUCGAAGAAAAUAAAAGAGAAACAGUCCCCAAAUCGGUAUAACAACCUAUUCUCAGUUUUAAAUCCGUUAUCAAUGACUCUGAAAAAGGUGAUAUGGAGGAUUGUCCUUGGUGAAAUUCAAAUAUCCCUCAAUUUCUUCCUAUUUUCUUAUCUUAUGGUUUCAAAUCCGAACUUGAAAGUCUGGAUUUGGAACCUAUAAAUAUGGUGCUUUCAAACCCUAGGUAGGCAAGCAAUUUUUGAGAGUAAAAUCAACUUAAAAAUCUAAAAAAAAGGUCGAGAAAAGAAAAAGGAGGAAAAACAGAGGUCCGAGAAUAUUGAUUCUUGCUUUGGUUCUAGAGUGAAACUUUGAUUCGGUCACUUUUCCGUCACUUCUUGCUUCGGCUCUAGAGUAAGUUUUUCGGGUUCGAGUUUAAUCGCCAGAAACUACUUGACGUGAAAGUCUCACGUUUGUUGCACCAGAAAAGGUGUGGAUUCGUCCCUUUCAUCUCUCUUUGAGUUUUGGGAUUCCUUUGUGUGAAUAAGUUUAAAAUCAUGAAGUUUUGAGUGUGGAUUUGCAAUCUAAAACUCCCCUAGUUCGCUGCCCUGUAACUCUAAUAUUUCUCCAAACUUUUUCCCUUAUUUUCCUUAUAUUUGAUGAAUAUGUGGUUUGCUUUUGUCUCUUAUUUUGUUAAAAUUGUUAGUGAUACUUACUUGGUUGAUAAAGAAAAAAAAAAAGAAACUAAAUAAUCCCAUUUAUCUUGACUUCAUAUUUUAAAAUGUUCUCUGGAUUGUAAUUUAUUUAGAAACAUGUCAUAAAUGUCGUUCCAUUUUAAUCACUAGGAAUAUACCUCAAAUUCCAAAUCAUAUUUUUUUCAUGGAUUUUCCUCCAUCUCAUGUUUUUUAGAUCGGAUGUAUAUAACAUUAUUAUUUUCUUGAUUUUUCUAGUCCUUUAAACUUGUUUAUGGUGUAGUAGUCAUCUUAAAAUGGGUCUUGCAUCUUAUUUGUUUUAUCUGCCAACCUUACAUAAUGUAUGAAUAAUAUUUCUUUUAUCUGUCAACCUUCCACGACGUAUGAAUAAAAUCAUGAAUCUGUAGAUUUAAAAAAAAAAGUUUGGUAUAGGACUUAAAUUGGUAUUUAAGUCGUCAAUCCUGUAGCGGAUAUAUGUUUGCUAGGGUUUGUUACUACAUGAAGUAUAUUCAGAGUAUAUUGUGUUGAUUUCCCUUAAUAUGACGAAGGGACUAUACCUAUCAAUUUUUAUGUCCUUUCAAUUGAAUUUACUUGAAGUCUUGCAAUAAUAUUUCAUCGAGGUAUAGUCUAGUCCAACUUGAUUCAACCUUAUUACUUCUUAAGUUUAAAAGAAAAUGAGGAAUAUCUAGUUGCCGAAUAGAAAUAUUCUAUUUGAGAAUAGUCUCUUGUGUAGAGUAUGAUCUUCAUCUGUACAUGAAUAACGGCUAAGUAUAAGAUAUUUAUUCGGUUUGAUGUGUUAUCUUCAUGUUGAGUUUAUCGUAUCUACUGUAUAUCUUUGUUUCUAAUUGUGAAGUUAUAUGCCCUCUCUAACUCCUUUUUCUUCCUUAUUUUACAUGUACUCGGGAAUUGGAGUUCCGCCAUGGAAUUCGUUUUGAUCCCACAUCGGGUCAACGCUACUAGGAUCAUAAGAGCUUCGGAGUCGCGCAAAUUAAAAGUCCAAACUCCUAAACGGAGUCUAGUAUUCCUUGGUCUCUUUUGAUUUUAUCAUAUAUUUGGUUAUGUUGGUUUUUUUUAGAAUGAUGGAUUUAAUUCUUGUUCCUUCUAUUAAACCUGUUCAAGGUAACUUUGUUUUGUUUAUUAUUUUUUGAUUCUUCGUAGUAGUUUAAGGUCCCGAUUUUUGCAAAAUUAAUGUAUGGUUAAUUAGCUUGUAAAAAAAGUAAUAUAGAUUUUAUCAUUUAGUUAACUCUUCUAAAAGCUAACUUUGCAUCAAACAACGUCAUUUUCUUAACGUAGCAAUCUCCAUAACUUCUAAAAUAACAAAUGAAUUUCAGAACUAAAUUAACAGGAAGGCAAGUCGCCAAAUUCAAAUUCCGAUAAAAUUCAUUCGCUACUUUAUUUCAACAAGUUAAUAACUCUAACAUUUUAACAUUUGCUUGAGUUUUUCUUUUCCUGCUUUCAAAAGACUAAACCGCGAGGUAUAUUUAUAUAUGCGCUACAAUAUACAAGGUAUCUAGUAUCAUCAUCAUUUAUCCUAAAUUUUUACUAUUACUUACAUCUUGUUUCAACUGUAUAUCCAUAUUCCGCUAUUAAGUUUAUUUUUUUUACUCACUAUUUUAAAUCUCACAAAUAAAUAAAUAAAUAAAUAUAUGAAUAAACAAAUAAAUGCAUG
rnacentral:lncRNA from 1 species